AGAUGAGUGUGCUCAUGCCCUGGAAAGCUCUUUCAGCAUCUUCAGCUUCUGCAGGGAGAAUCUUGCUGAGACCAAGUGAGGAGAAAGUUAUUGGCCCGAAAGUGAGCCUCGUGACAAGAAUGAUAACUGCUUAUCCAGGUUUGGUGUCCUGUGAUGAGGUAACAUAUCUAAGAUCCAUGCUACCUGCUUACAACUUCAAGAAACUCCCAGAGAAAAUGAUGAAAAACAUCUCCAACCCAGGGAAGAUGUAUGAAUAUCUUGGCCAUAGAAGAUGUAUAAUGUUUGGGAAGAGAUAUCAGGCCAGAGAAAGAAAUAAAAAUUAUCCUUUUUUAGGU